GCGAUAAACCAGGAUGCCGCUGUACAAUUUCCAUAAAUGGAAAUUGCAUGGAGGAAAGUCCGGACUCCGCAGGGUACGAUGCCGGGUAACUCCCGGGAUUCAGCACCUGAUUUCAGGUAUUGGAGACAGACAGCGCAACAGAAAACAAACCGCCCGGCACCUAAUGUUUUUUCAGAUAAAGAAUAAACAAAAGUGAAAAAACAUUAGGUGCCGGGUAAGGGUGAAACGGCGGGGUAAAAGCCCACCUCGGCAAUGGCAACAUUGCCGGCAAGACCCGGUUUUGCUGGAAAAUGAGCGGUAGUUUUGCUUGGCAAAACUGCAACCAAUUCCUGGUGAAACCGGGAAUUGGCAAACCUCAUCGGGAGCAAAGUUAAACAACGGAAAAACGGCAUUGCCGUUCUGCCGGCGGCCCGCCGGUUAACCGUGGGUGGACUGCACAGAGAUAACCGGCAAUGGUUAUCCCAGACAGAUGGCACCGUGUAUACUUUAUAUCGCUAAAUGCGUGUUUAAAGGCAUACUGUACAGAAUCCGGCUUAUGGUUUAUCGCUUUU
rnacentral:RNase_P_RNA from 1 species